AUGUGGAGGCAGACUAGCAUGCAGUCGAGCGAAGUCUUCGGACUUAGCGGCGGACGGGUGAGUAACGCGUGGGAACGUGCCCUUUGCUUCGGAAUAGCCCCGGGAAACUGGGAGUAAUACCGAAUGUGCCCUAUGGGGGAAAGAUUUAUCGGCAAAGGAUCGGCCCGCGUUGGAUUAGGUAGUUGGUGGGGUAAUGGCCUACCAAGCCGACGAUCCAUAGCUGGUUUGAGAGGAUGAUCAGCCACACUGGGACUGAGACACGGCCCAGACUCCUACGGGAGGCAGCAGUGGGGAAUCUUAGACAAUGGGCGCAAGCCUGAUCUAGCCAUGCCGCGUGAUCGAUGAAGGCCUUAGGGUUGUAAAGAUCUUUCAGGUGGGAAGAUAAUGACGGUACCACCAGAAGAAGCCCCGGCUAACUCCGUGCCAGCAGCCGCGGUAAUACGGAGGGGGCUAGCGUUAUUCGGAAUUACUGGGCGUAAAGCGCACGUAGGCGGAUCGGAAAGUCAGAGGUGAAAUCCCAGGGCUCAACCCUGGAACUGCCUUUGAAACUCCCGAUCUUGAGGUCGAGAGAGGUGAGUGGAAUUCCGAGUGUAGAGGUGAAAUUCGUAGAUAUUCGGAGGAACA
rnacentral:rRNA from 1 species